AGGAUGAACGCUGGCGGCGUGCUUAACACAUGCAAGUCGAACGAUGAAAGCCGGAGCUUGCUCUGGCUGGAUUAGUGGCGAACGGGUGAGUAACACGUGAGUAACCUGCCCUUGACUCUGGGAUAAGCACUGGAAACGGUGUCUAAUACCGGAUACGAGCUUCAGCCGCAUGGCUAGGAGCUGGAAAGAUUUUCGGACAAGGGAUGGGACUCGGCGGCCUAUCAGGUAGUUGGUGAGGUAAAGGCUCACCAAGCCGACGACGGGUAGCCGGCCUGAGAGGGUGACCGGCACACUGGGACUGAGACACGGUCCAGACUCCGUACGGGAGGCAGCAGUGGGAAUAGUUGGACAAGUGGGCGACGAAGCCGUGACUCCAGCCAGACCGCCGGU
rnacentral:rRNA from 1 species